UCCCUGGUGGUCUAGUGGUCAGGAUUCGGCGCUCUCACUGCCGUGGCCUGGGUUCGAUUCCUGGUAAGGGAA
rfam:Sus scrofa chromosome 6.